UGUUACUCCAUAGGGUCGGUAUAUAUACCGUCGUAGGGUAUUAUUGUGACCAUAACCUAGUUUUCAGUACUGAGAGAUCACUGUGAAGAACUAAAACAUGAAAGUAUUAAUAGUUUUGUGUGUGAUGUGCGUUUUGGUGGCUUUUAGUAGUGGGAAAGAAGAGAGGGUCAUCAAAGAUCUGUUGAAAUUCGCCGGCAUGAACCUGACGCACCAUACGCGCCACCAAUGCUGACGCUGCACAGACCUCGGGAGCCUUCAGAACACUCCACAGCCCUGGAUCAUGACAUCGAAGACCAUGACGAUGAUGAUGAAGACUUGGAUGAUUUGAGCGAUGACGAAAUUUCCGUCUAAUUUUCAAGUUCACCUCAACACAAACGUUAGGUUUCUUGAAACAACUGUUUACAAUGGAUUUUCACGUUUCACGGUGCACUUUC